UACGGAGGGUGCAAGCGUUGUCCGGAAUCACUGGGCGUAAAGGGCGGGUAGGCGGCCACCGCAAGUCAGUUGUGAAAUCUCUGGGCUUAACCCAGAAAGGUCAACUGAUACUGCGGGGCUAGAGUGCAGAAGGGGCAACUGGAAUUCUCGGUGUAGCGGUGAAAUGCGUAGAUAUCGAGAGGAACACCUGCGGCGAAGGCGGGUUGCUGGGCUGACACUGACGCUGAACUGCGAAAGCUAGGGGAGCGAACGGG
rnacentral:rRNA from 1 species